CCUUGACAUACUAAGAACCUUCCAGAGAUGGAUUGGUGCCUUCGGGAACUUAGAUACAGGUGCUGCAUGGCUGUCGUCAGCUCGUGUCGUGAGAUGUUGGGUUAAGUCCCGNAACGAGCGCAACCCUUUUCCUUAUUUGCCAGCGGGUCAUGCCGGGAACUUUAAGGAUACUGCCAGUGACAAACUGGAGGAAGGCGGGGACGACGUCAAGUCAUCAUGGCCCUUACGGCCAGGGCUACACACGUGCUACAAUGGUCGGUACAAAGGGUUGCUACCUCGCGAGAGGAUGCUAAUCUCAAAAAGCCGAUCGUAGUCCGGAUCGCAGUCUGCAACUCGACUGCGUGAAGUCGGAAUCGCUAGUAAUCGCGGAUCAGAAUGCCGCGGUGAAUACGUUCCCGGGCCUUGUACACACCGCCCGUCACACCAUGGGAGUUUGUUGCACCAGAAGUAGGUAGUCUAACCGCAAGGAGGACGCUUACCACGGUGUGGCCGAUGACUGGGGUGAAGUCGUAACAAGGUAAGCGUAGAUGA
rnacentral:rRNA from 1 species